UGAAAUAAUAGUUUAAUAAAAAUUUUUAAUUUGCAAUUAAAGGAUAUUUGAUAAAUUUAUUUUAA
rnacentral:tRNA from 1 species